rnacentral:rRNA from 1 species
GACGAACGCUGGCGGCGUGCCUAAUACAUGCGAGUCGAACGCACAGUUUAUACCGUAGCUUGCUACACCAUAGACUGUGAGUUGCGAACGGGUGAGUAACGCGUAGGUAGCCUGCCUGGUAGCGGGGGAUAACUAUUGGAAACGAUAGCUAAUACCGCAUAAUAUUAAUUAUUGCAUGAUAAUUAAUUGAAAGGUGCAAUUGCACCACUACCAGAUGGACCUGCGUUGUAUUAGCUAGUAGGUGAGGUAGCGGCUCACCUAGGCGACGAUACAUAGCCGACCUGAGAGGGGGAUCGGCCACACUGGGACUGAGACACGGCCCAGACUCCUACGGGAGGCAGCAGUAGGGAAUCUUCGGCAAUGGACGAAAGUCUGACCGAGCAACGCCGCGUGAGGGAAGAAGGGUUUCGGAUCGUAAAGCUCUGUUGUAAGAGAAGAACGGGUGUGAGAGUGGAAAGUUCACACUGUGACGGUAGCUUACCAGAAAGGGACGGCUAACUACGUG